rnacentral:rRNA from 1 species
AGUGAACGCUGGCGGUAGGCCUAACACAUGCAAGUCGAACGGCAGCACAGUAAGAGCUUGCUCUUACGGGUGGCGAGUGGCGGACGGGUGAGGAAUACAUCGGAAUCUACUUUUUCGUGGGGGAUAACGUAGGGAAACUUACGCUAAUACCGCAUACGAUCUACGGGUGAAAGCAGGGGAUCUUCGGACCUUGCGCGAUUGAAUGAGCCGAUGUCGGAUUAGCUAGUUGGCGGGGUAAAGGCCCACCAAGGCAACGAUCCGUAGCUGGUCUGAGAGGAUGAUCAGCCACACUGGAACUGAGACACGGUCCAGACUCCUACGGGAGGCAGCAGUGGGGAAUAUUGGACAAUGGGCGCAAGCCUGAUCCAGCCAUACCGCGUGGGUGAAGAAGGCCUUCGGGUUGUAAAGCCCUUUUGUUGGGAAAGAAAAGCAGCAGGUUAAUACCCCGCUGUUCUGACGGUACCCAAAGAAUAAGCACCGGCUAACUUCGUG